rnacentral:rRNA from 1 species
CCGGUCCCUUUCCGAACCCGGAAGCUAAGCCCGAUUGCGCUGAUGGUACUGCACCUGGGAGGGUGUGGGAGAGUAGGUCGCCGCCAACC